rnacentral:rRNA from 1 species
UACGGGGGGGGCAAGCGUUGUUCGGAAUUACUGGGCGUAAAGGGCUCGUAGGCGGCCAACUAAGUCAGACGUGAAAUCCCUCGGCUUAACCGGGGAACUGCGUCUGAUACUGGAUGGCUCGAGUUUGGGAGAGGGAUGCGGAAUUCCAGGUGUAGCGGUGAAAUGCGUAGAUAUCUGGAGGAACACCGGUGGCGAAGGCGACUACCUGGCCUGUUCUUGACGCUGAGGCGCGAAAGCUAGGGGAGCAAACGGG